UACGAAGGGGGCUAGCGUUGCUCGGAAUCACUGGGCGUAAAGGGUGCGUAGGCGGGUCUUUAAGUCAGGGGUGAAAUCCUGGAGCUCAACUCCAGAACUGCCUUUGAUACUGAGGAUCUUGAGUUCGGGAGAGGUGAGUGGAACUGCGAGUGUAGAGGUGAAAUUCGUAGAUAUUCGCAAGAACACCAGUGGCGAAGGCGGCGACCUGGUCCGAUACUGACGCUGAGGCGCGAAAGCGUGGGGAGCAAACGGG
rnacentral:rRNA from 1 species